rnacentral:sRNA from 1 species
UAAUGUUGAGUUCGGCAUUUAAAACGAAAUGCCUAUCUGAUUCGACAAUAGUUAAGAAUAAAAACUUUUAAAAAGUUACCCAGUAGAACAAACUAACAUACAAUUACAUAAAAUAGGUUGAUUUCUUUCAACAUCAUUGGAAAAACAAAUUCCUUGGAUUGUACUAUUUAAUGACAAAAGAUGUCAAAUUCAAAGUUUAAACUAACUGGAGAAAACACAAACCUUGCUCGUGUGGCCCAGAUGAUAUUGGGACCAUGCACUAACGUACUACGUGAUGUUCUUACGAAGGAAAUUUCUCCGUCCAAUUUGGAAACGAAAGUCAGAGCUUAUAUUGCUAAAACAAAGAAACCACUGAUCAACCUGCACCAAGAGACACUAGUCUACAGUAAAGCUUACUUAAAAUUCGAUGUUACGUUACUGUACUUUUUAUUACGGAAUAUGUGCUCUAUCCAACCGCAUUCAAACAAAUGGGGAAACAACCCAAAAUCCGGAGAUAGAAGUGUGUCAGGAAACAUCGAACGGAUUCGUCUGAUAAGAAAUGAAUAUGGACAUAAUUCGGAAAGAUCUAUCUCCGAUAUAGACUUUAAAAUAAAAUACAAAUACAUUAAGGGCAUUGUUCGAGAGUUGGAGAACUACUUAGGUAGUUCUACUAAAUACCAGGACGAAGUAAAGGAACUGAAAACGUGUACCAUGGAUCCUACACAAAGCGAAAAAAAUAUCAAAGAGCUUCUUGACCUCAAUGAAAAAAUUAAAGAUAUUUCAGAGGAUGUCGAAGAAAUGAAGAAGACAGUUCUUCCUUGGAAUAUAAAAGUUAUAUAUGAAAAGGACGUCCUUAAAUGGAAAGAAGAUGACAGUUUUUUUGUUGAAACUCACAACUUUCAAGCGAUGCUUGACAAAGUUAGACAACAGCCUUUCGUGACGUUUGUUGGUGUCCCUGGCUCAGGAAAAACGGCUACAGCUCGUCAUAUUGCCCUUCUACUGCAAGAGAAAGAUGUGUAUGAAAUAUUACCAACCAAAGACAUAAAGGACAUUGAAACGUAUUGUGACCCUCGCAAUCCACAAGUGUUUGUUAUUGAUGAUGUCCUAGGUGUGUUCGGGUUUGACAUGAAGGAACUUGAGAAGAUCACGAAUUAUAAAGAUAGAUUAAAUGAACCUACAAUGCCAAAAACCAAGGUUCUUCUGACAUGCCGGGAGGAGUCCCAUUACCAUUUACUUGCUGAUCGUUUAUUUGAAGAUAUACAUAAAGGCGAGUUGUUUAAUGUUUUUGAAAACGAAGCGUUAAAAAAUCCGUUGGUGCUUCAGAAGUUUUUGGAUGUGAUGAAAAAACUCCCUUCAACAUUCGAUCGGAUGACUUUUGUACAACAGUACAGGGUACAGAUUGUAAUAAAAGAAAUGAAUCAGAUAUUGAUGAAAACAGUGCAGGGAGAUGUGAUGUGUCAGAAGAUGAAUCAUGGUCUGAUUUGUGCUCUGAAACAAGUGAUGAAUCUUUUGGUACCGAGCAAGUCUUAAUUGAGAAGUGCCGCCUACUUAAUCUUAGUUGUUGUAGUGGUGACCUUCUGACUUUCCACACUUUACUUCCAUAUUGUGAUAAAAAUGUCCUUUUUUCUGAAUCAUGGUGGAAAGGCAGGUUUUUGGAUGAUUAUGAUGAUUAUGAUGAUGAUGAUGAUGAUGAUAAUUUGAAAAUUUCUGACCCACCGAUUGUUGUUGUAAGCAAAACUGGACACUUGAAUAUACUUCUUGAGCUGUUAAGCCUUGGUGCAAAUGUAAAUGACAACACCUAUUGUGAUAAAUCACUGGUUGUUGCAUGUUCAAAAGGACAUUUAGAUAUAGUAAUUGAAUUGUUAAAACGUACAGCAAAUGUCAAUAUAACAGAUUAUGAUAGAACCCCACUCAUUGCUGCGUGUUUAAAAGGAUAUUAUGAUAUUGUACUUGAAUUGAUAAAACACCGAGCAGAUGUCAAUAUCAGCGUUUGUGAUUAUUCACCCCUUAUUGCUGCAUGUUCAGAGGGAUAUCUUGAUAUAUUAUUGAAUUGUUAAAACAUGGAGCUGAUGUCAAUAUCAC